UACGGAGGGUGCAAGCGUUAUCCGGAUUCACUGGGUUUAAAGGGAGCGUAGGUGGGCUUUUAAGUCAGUGGUGAAAUCUUUGGGCUUAACCCGAAAACUGCCAUUGAUACUAUUAGUCUUGAAUUCUCUGGAGGUAAGCGGAAUAUGUCAUGUAGCGGUGAAAUGCUUAGAUAUGACAUAGAACACCCAUUGCGAAGGCAGCUUACUACGGAGCGAUUGACACUGAGGCUCGAAAGCGUGGGGAUCAAACAGGAUUAGAAACCCCCGUAGUCC
rnacentral:rRNA from 1 species